GGGGAGGUAGUUCAGUGGUAGAGUGCUUGCCUUGCAUGCAUGAGGCCCUGGGUUCAAUUCCUCAGCACCA
rnacentral:tRNA from 1 species